AGCGAACGCUGGCGGCAGGCCUAACACAUGCAAGUCGAACGAAGUCUUCGGACUUAGUGGCGGACGGGUGAGUAACACGUGGGAACGUGCCUUUAGGUUCGGAAUAACUCAGGGAAACUUGUGCUAAUACCGAAUGUGCCCUUCGGGGGAAAGAUUUAUCGCCUUUAGAGCGGCCCGCGUCUGAUUAGCUAGUUGGUGAGGUAAAGGCUCACCAAGGCGACGAUCAGUAGCUGGUCUGAGAGGAUGAUCAGCCACAUUGGGACUGAGACACGGCCCAAACUCCUACGGGAGGCAGCAGUGGGGAAUAUUGCGCAAUGGGCGAAAGCCUGACGCAGCCAUGCCGCGUGGAUGAUGAAGGUCUUAGGAUUGUAAAAUCCUUUCACCGGUGAAGAUAAUGACUGUAGCCGGAGAAGAAGCCCCGGCUAACUUCGUGCCAGCCGCCGCGGUAAUAC
rnacentral:rRNA from 1 species